AGAGUUUGAUCCUGGCUCAGAUUGAACGCUGGCGGCAGGCUUAACACAUGCAAGUCGAGCGGAGAUGAGGUGCUUGCACCUUAUCUUAGCGGCGGACGGGUGAGUAAUGCUUAGGAAUCUGCCUAUUAGUGGGGGACAACAUUCCGAAAGGAAUGCUAAUACCGCAUACGUCCUACGGGAGAAAGCAGGGGAUCUUCGGACCUUGCGCUAAUAGAUGAGCCUAAGUCGGAUUAGCUAGUUGGUGGGGUAAAGGCCUACCAAGGCGACGAUCUGUAGCGGGUCUGAGAGGAUGAUCCGCCACACUGGGACUGAGACACGGCCCAGACUCCUACGGGAGGCAGCAGUGGGGAAUAUUGGACAAUGGGGGGAACCCUGAUCCAGCCAUGCCGCGUGUGUGAAGAAGGCCUUAUGGUUGUAAAGCACUUUAAGCGAGGAGGAGGCUACUGAGACUAAUACUCUUGGAUAGUGGACGUACUCGCAGAAUAAGCACCGGCUAACUCUGUGCCAGCAGCCGCGGUAAUACAGAGGGUGCGAGCGUUAAUCGGAUUUACUGGGCGUAAAGCGUGCGUAGGCGGCUUUUUAAGUCGGAUGUGAAAUCCCCGAGCUUAACUUGGGAAUUGCAUUCGAUACUGGGAAGCUAGAGUAUGGGAGAGGAUGGUAGAAUUCCAGGUGUAGCGGUGAAAUGCGUAGAGAUCUGGAGGAAUACCGAUGGCGAAGGCAGCCAUCUGGCCUAAUACUGACGCUGAGGUACGAAAGCAUGGGGAGCAAACAGGAUUAGAUACCCUGGUAGUCCAUGCCGUAAACGAUGUCUACUAGCCGUUGGGGCCUUUGAGGCUUUAGUGGCGCAGCUAACGCGA
rnacentral:rRNA from 1 species